UACGGGGGGGGCAAGCGUUGUUCGGAAUUACUGGGCGUAAAGGGCUCGUAGGCGGCCAACUAAGUCAUACGUGAAAUCCCUCGGCUUAACCGGGGAACUGCGUCUGAUACUGGAUGGCUUGAGUUCGGGAGAGGGAUGCGGAAUUCCAGGUGUAGCGGUGAAAUGCGUAGAUAUUAGGAAGAACACCAGUGGCGAAGGCGGCUCACUGGCCCGGUACUGACGCUGAGGCGCGAAAGCGUGGGGAGCAAACAGG
rnacentral:rRNA from 1 species